GACUGCUUGGGCGUAGCGGGAGGGGCACACUUCAGCUCUUGAGGGCUCCUGAUCGGAAUGGGUAUAUAUUUUUUCAAUUUCGGAAUCACCUCUGCGCCGACCUCCGCGUAGGCCGCGCGGCCUAGGCCUCCGGGGGCCGCUCGCCGCCUGCUUACUCCGCAGCCCGCCGCGGGGUCACUCGCUCACGGGCGCAGGGCCCUCAUCGGGGCGACAGGCGCCCCCGACACACACACACACACACACACACGCACCCCCGCGGGCCCGGGGGUGGGAGACCCGGGGGACACGGACACUGGUGGGUGGUUCGGUGUAAUUAGCGCGGGCCGCGCGCGAUGGAGCAAGCGAGGGGAAAGGGGAGAAGAGGAGAGCGAGCGAGGGCGGUUAAAAAAAAAGGGGGGGGUUUCAAAGAGAGGAAACGGGCCGCGGAGACGGGCCGACUGUCUGUCUGUCAGCCCGCCUAGGUGCCCCAGCUGCCCGGCCCCCGCCGCUGUCAGAAAUUCACACAAAAUGGCGGCCCGGCCUGGACGAGCCAGGAGGCUAAGGCGGGAGGAAAGGCGAGGUGGGAGGGGGAACUGGGAGGCGGAGGCCGUGUCACGUGUAGCAGAGAGGCAGAGACAGCUCUUCCGAUGAGCGGCGGAAAGAGCCGAAGGGAGAGAGUAAGGCCGAGGCAAGGCGGAAAAAGCCGGAAGGAGCUGAGCUGAACUUCGUGAGAGGCGGGAAGAGCCGAAGUUGUCGAUGGGGUGGGGCUAGGGAAAGAAAGGGAAGCCCCUCGGUGCCGGAAAUAGCCGAAGCGAAUCGGGAAUGGGAAAAUAACAAGAAACUGAGGUGAUCCGGAAAGAACCGAAGGCGGUGUCGAGGAAGUCGACCAGACCUCCCCCGGUCCAAAGAAAGACCUGCUCAACCGUAAAGAGAAAUGUUCUCUCAGCAUCAACAAGACAACUCCUUAAAAGAUAACAUCUUGAUUUUGUAAGGGACCACGUGACCCACCACUCUGUACCCCAGAUUUGAAUUGUGCAAACUUUCUACAUCAUUAAAUGUACAGUCUUCUGUCUCAAAAACCUAAAUAACUGUGCUUUGGCCUCUAACAGGUGGAAGAGUCUCAGAACUUUCUGAGGUUAUAAUCCUCCAUUUGACUCAAAUAAAAUUUUCCAUUUCUUUCCUAGA